AAUAAGUACAGUUUUAACACUGUUCAUGCUCAACGUUUAAUCAUUCGUCUUAUUUGAAAAACAAUUUGAUUAGUAUUUUUAUUGUUAUUAGAUAAUAAUACAUGAAUAGUACUUUAUGUGUGACUAAUAUUUUUAAUUUUUUUCAUAAAAUUUUCAAAUAAGACGGACGGUCAAAAUGCUAGACACGGAUAUCUAUGGCUGCACUUAUU
rfam:Oryza meridionalis cultivar OR44 (W2112) chromosome 4, whole genome shotgun sequence.